GAUAUUAAGUUUAUAUGAAAAAAAAAACCGUAAUAUCCUCUCACCUUCUUCUCUCCAAAGGCGACUUUUUCAGAGUUUCAAGUCCGCCGGCGCGUGACCUGCGCGUCCGUUGCCGGCCAUCCUCCUUCUUCCCUAUCUCAUUUUUAUUUGCUCAUCUCUUUCUUUUUCUGUUGGUGCUGAUAUGUUGGAAGCACUGGUUAAGGUCUCGCCGCCGGCUCCCUAGUACUGCUACGGGGAGAGCUUGUUCCGGUGUCUUGAGAUUUUUCACUGGUGUAACUACGAGGCAUCGCAGGUUCUAAAGCAGGUUGAGUCGGUGUUUAUGGGUUUAACUUUCGACAGAUCUGAUUUUCCAUUUCUAGAUCUAUUCGGAGUCAUAGCGGUGACGGCGCGUGACGGGUUGGUUGCCUCUCUUCUUUAUUUUCCAAGUGGUUUUGUUGCGGAUUGGGUUGUUGUGGAGUGGAGCGUUCGAUUUCCUGGUUGUUGAAACUUGAGCGUGUCAGGAGAGAUUGAUUGGCAAGACUUCAUUCUGUGGUAUUAGAGUAAAGCUUCUAUCGAGGGUGAGUGGUCGUAUGAAUGCGGCACAUCCGUAUCCGAAGGAGGUGAACCGAGUGAGUGUUCCCCCUGUUGGGUUAUGAAGUUUCAGGUAUUUGUUUUGUUGGACGUUAUCGCUUGACGGGCGUAGGCAGCAGCGAUAGUCGUGUGGUGUGGGUGUUAGAAGUGGAGGUUAUCGUAUGGCGUGCUAUGGGCAGCAACGAUAUUUCCCCGAUCAUUGGUCUUUACUCGGUUCGAAAGUUUGUGAAAUUGUUGUUUAAAAUUCUUUUGUGGUAGUUUAUAUGAGUUUCGGACUAUUUUUCAGCUUUGUUUCAGUAAGUUGCUCCGGUGUGGGCUUUAGUUGUCCCGAUGUGGACUCAAGUCGCCGCUUCUUAUGGGCUUUCGGUUUCUAGGACUAUCUCGUUUUGUCGCCGAUGUAUUAUGUAUGAACUCUUGUAUUUUAUGUUGGAAUAAUAAUAUAUUUGAC